rnacentral:rRNA from 1 species
GACGAACGCUGGCGGCGUGCUUAACACAUGCAAGUCGAACGAAGUGGCGAACGGGUGAGUAACGCGUAAUCAACCUGCCCUUCAGCGGGGGGCGACAGUUGGUAACGACUGCUAAUACCGCAUACUUAAGGAGGGGAUUUCGUCUGAUUAGCUAGUUGGCGGGGUAACGGCCCACCAAGGCGAUGAUCAGUAGCCGGUCUUAGAGGAUGAACGGCCACAUUGGGACUGAGACACGGCCCAGACUCCUACGGGAGUGAGCAGUGGGGAAUGUUUCGAAAUGGACGAAAGUCUGACGGAGCAAAUCCGCGUGAGUGAUGACGGCCUUCGGGUUUUAAAGCUCUGUUAAUCGGGACGCGGUACCGGAAUAGAAAGCGACGGCUAACUACGUGCCAGCAGCCGCGGUAAUAC